CGAUGGAGAACGGGCGGCCGCGCAGGCAGCAGGUACCGUAGCAACAGCUGGACCUGGAGACGAUCGGCAGCUUCUGUCAGUGAUUCUGGACAGAACCCAGGUAAAAGGAUGCAGCCUCCACCUGGGCCUCCACCCAUCCUUCACCCUGCCGGCGGUUGCCAUGGUGAUGCAACAGCCAAGAGAUUCUGCAGAAGAAUCCAUUAUCUGAUGCAGGGGGAGGAUGUCUGAGCACGGUUGCCAUGCAACAGGUUGCCAGGAAAACAGAUCUGAGCAGAAGAAGAGGAGAGGAAGAGGAGGAAAGAUGCGCCAUGUAAGGAUGGAGGAGGAAGGAGCGCGGCGAUGUGACGUAGGAGAUCCACGGCGUUUCUGUCCAGUUGAUGAAUCAGAGCGAAUUCACUCUGACAUCAACGAGUCAGAACCAGAAUAUUUCAGUCCGAAAAGGAAAACAAAGACAAUCAGACGACUUUCACCAACUGUCAUCCUGACAAUAAACCACCAGAACCUCCAUCAGAACCUCCAUCAGAACCUCCAUCAGAACCUCCACCAGUUAUAAACCACCAGAACCUCCACCAGAAUCUCCAUCAGAACCUCCACCAGUUAUAAACCAUCAGAACCUCCAUCAGAACCUCCACCAGAACCUCCAUCAGAACCUCCACCCGUUAUAAACCACCAGAACCUCCACCCGUUAUAAACCACCAGAACCUCCACCAGUUAUAAACCACCAGAACCUCCACCAGAACCUCCACCCGUUAUAAACCACCAGAACCUCCACCCGUUAUAAACCACCAGAACCUCCACCCGUUAUAAACCACCAGAACCUCCACCCGUUAUAAACCACCAGAACCUCCACCAGUUAUAAACCACCAGAACCUCCACCCGUUAUAAACCACCAGAACCUCCACCAGUUAUAAACCACCAGAACCUCCACCAGAACCUCCACCCGUUAUAUACCACCAGAACCUCCACCCGUUAUAAACCACCAGAACCUCCACCCGUUAUAAACCACCAGAACCUCCACCCGUUAUAAACCACCAGAACCUCCACCAG